AGAAAGUUAGUCUAACCAAGACAGUUGAUUUAGACUCAACAAAUCACUGGCCCAACCCUGCUCUGUAAUUCCUG
rnacentral:tRNA from 1 species